UCCUUCAGCCUAAUUAAAGGUUUAGUUUAGGUGGACAAAGGAACGUUUUAGGAGAUUGUUCCUUACAGUGUUGUUCGAUUUUAGAGGCUAACCGUGUGAUUAUUUGUUUUUGGCAGGUUUUUUGCUAUUGUUUUUAGUUUGGGUAUGUUUUCUGCGUUAUAUAAGCCUGUAUACUUUAAUUGCCUUAUUGUUUGGUGCAGACAUCCACCCUGAUAAAACAAGGCGGAAGUUUCCCAGACUGGUUCCCAAGUAGCACACGGAAGCAUUCGUUGAUGUACGUCUUCAGAUCAGGCAUUUGCACAACUGGGACUGAGGAAUUGUCCCCUGUCAGAACGCCCUGAUAAAGGAAGAUGUGGCCAGAUGUACCAUUUGGUCUCACAAGUCUUUUCACAACCGAGCCUGUUGCAUCAAAGCAAACUACAGAGGGGCAUUUUUUGGACAAUGCUCUAUACACAUGGAGCUGAGUUGGACUUCAAUAGUGGCAGAAGAACUUGUCUAGACCAAUGUCUCUUAUACAACCACUGUGAGGGUCGCCAAAUUUGGUAGGUGACUUGGCUCAGGAUCUCCAAUAUCCAUCAAAUCUGAUGCCUUCGCUGACCUCCAUACAGCCGGCUCCAUCCUGCCCUCACACAGCUCUUUUGAAAUCUGUGCACGAAGGUCUCCAGACAUGAACCUCUUGGAACGGCCAGUGUGCAGGGAGAUAUCAGUGUCUUUGAUGGAACACUCGAGAACCAUUGGGCUGUUGACUGUUGGUUCUCUGGCACAUGUCAUUUUAACAUGGCCUUGACACUCUUUACAGAAGCCCUUAAUGUCUAUGUAGUUGCUGGUUCUAGAUGAAUAAACUUUUGCUCUCUGGAACACAAA